GACAGAGGAUGCAAGCGUUGUCCGGAAUUAUUGGGCGUAAAGAGCUCGUAGGCGGUCUGUCGCGUCGGCUGUGAAAACCCGGAGCUCAACUCCGGGCCUGCAGUCGAUACGGGCAGACUGGAGUUCGGCAGGGGAGACUGGAAUUCCUGGUGUAGCGGUGAAAUGCGCAGAUAUCAGGAGGAACACCAGCGGCGAAGGCGGCGCUCUGGGCCGGAACUGACGCUGAGGAGCGAAAGCGUGGGUAGCAAACAGG
rnacentral:rRNA from 1 species